rnacentral:rRNA from 1 species
AGGACGAACGCUGGCGGCGUGCUUAACACAUGCAAGUCGAGCGGAAAGGCCCUUCGGGGUACUCGAGCGGCGAACGGGUGAGUAACACGUGAGUAACCUGCCCUGGACUUUGGGAUAACCCUCGGAAACGGGGGCUAAUACCGGAUACGACUACCGGCUGCAUGGUUGGUGGUGGAAAGUUUUUCGGUCUGGGAUGGGCUCGCGGCCUAUCAGCUUGUUGGUGGGGUGAUGGCCUACCAAGGCGACGACGGGUAGCCGGCCUGAGAGGGCGACCGGCCACACUGGGACUGAGACACGGCCCAGACUCCUACGGGAGGCAGCAGUGGGGAAUAUUGCACAAUGGGCGGAAGCCUGAUGCAGCGACGCCGCGUGAGGGAUGACGGCCUUCGGGUUGUAAACCGUUCUUUCAGCAGGGACGAAGCGCAAGUGACGGUACCUGCAGAAGAGCGCCGGCCAACUACGCGCCAGCAGCCGC